ensembl:lncRNA
GACAUCAGCUCACUCACAAACUGCGAAUUUUUUUGAAUACUGGCCUUGUCUUUGAACAAUACACUUUUCAACAACACAAUCGUGGCUUUAUCUCUUCUGAAAGUCCUUAUGGAAUGGCAACCAUGUGGGACAUGUAAAAGAACAUGGGAGCCGACGUGGGAGCCAAAGUCAGCCAUUGCAGUUAAAAAAAGAAAUGGAGUCUGAGGAAGAGACGGGGUGCAAGAGAACAGGGACACAGUGAAAGAGAACAGGGAGACGAGGUGCAAGGGGCCAGGGGGACAGGGAGAAAGAGGACAGGGGAACAGGGAGAAAGAGGACAGGGGGACAGGG